CGCCGCGGUAAUACGUAGGGUGCAAGCGUUAAUCGGAAUUACUGGGCGUAAAGCGUGCGCAGGCGGUUUGUUAAGACAGAUGUGAAAUCCCCGGGCUCAACCUGGGAACUGCAUUUGUGACUGGCAAGCUAGAGUAUGGCAGAGGGGGGUGGAAUUCCGCGUGUAGCAGUGAAAUGCGUAGAUAUGCGGAGGAACACCGAUGGCGAAGGCAGCCCCCUGGGCCAAUACUGACGCUCAUGCACGAAAGCGUGGGGAGCAAACAGGAUUAGAUACCCUGGUAGUCCACGCCCUAAACGAUGUCAACUAGUUGUUGGGGAUUCAUUUCCUUAGUAACGUAGCUAACGCGUGAAGUUGACCGCCUGGGGAGUACGGUCGCAAGAUUAAAACUCAAAGA
rnacentral:rRNA from 1 species